rnacentral:rRNA from 1 species
UACGUAGGGCGCAAGCGUUGUCCGGAUUUACUGGGCGUAAAGAGCGCGCAGGCGGCUGGGCAAGUCCGAUGUGAAAUCUCCCGGCUCAACUGGGAAACUGCAUCGGAAACUGAUCGGCUUGAAGAUGGGAGAGGGUAGUGGAAUUCCCGGUGUAGUGGUGAAAUGCGUAGAUAUCGGGAGGAACACCAGUGGCGAAGGCGACUACCUGGCCCAUUCUUGACGCUGAGGCGCGAAAGCUAGGGGAGCGAACGGG